rnacentral:rRNA from 1 species
GACGAACGCUGGCGGCGUGCCUAAUACAUGCAAGUAGAACGCUGAAGGAGGAGCUUGCUUCUCUGGAUGAGUUGCGAACGGGUGAGUAACGCGUAGGUAACCUGCCUGGUAGCGGGGGAUAACUAUUGGAAACGAUAGCUAAUACCGCAUAAUAGUAGAUGUUGCAUGACAUUUGCUUAAAAGGUGCAAUUGCAUCACUACCAGAUGGACCUGCGUUGUAUUAGCUAGUUGGUGAGGUAACGGCUCACCAAGGCGACGAUACAUAGCCGACCUGAGAGGGUGAUCGGCCACACUGGGACGGAGACACGGCCCAGACUCCUACGGGAGGCAGCAGUAGGGAAUCUUCGGCAAUGGACGGAAGUCUGACCGAGCAACGCCGCGUGAGUGAAGAAGGUUUUCGGAUCGUAAAGCUCUGUUGUAAGAGAAGAACGAGUGUGAGAGUGGAAAGUUCACACUGUGACGGUAUCUUACCAGAAAGGGACGGCUAACUACGUG